rnacentral:piRNA from 1 species
UCAUUCUUUUGUGGCUGGUUUCACGU